rnacentral:lncRNA from 1 species
UCCUGCCAACCCCCUGCUCCCUGCCAGUCCCAGUGCUGGACAAACAGCUCUGCCAGCAUUUGGAUUUGCGAGGGGAAGUACAUUCCGUAUGUGGAAGCCACAUAAUGGAAGUUAUGUACUUUUCGGGGACUGCAUCAGCUAGCGCAACUGCUGCUCCCAUUAUGUGGCUCAUGAAAGGGUUUUCACCUCCUGGGCUGGAAGGGAGUUGGUCUGUCUGCAACAAAGGCGUUUGCCUCUGUGGCUUUCUGAAAAAGAAUGUGUGUGCUUGUCAAAACAGAACUUUCCUGCGUACUUGGAAGAGGAGGCCUUUCUGCCUGCCAGAAAGGAGCAAGGCUCAGUCUGGUUAAAAAGGGGAAAAAAUUCCACUGAGCGGGCCCGUUAGCCACUGCCCAGGCCAGCCUUUCUCUCUCACAAAGACACUUGUUCACUGUCGCACGACUGGCUUCAGAGCCAUUUCCCACCAAGGCAGUUUGAUUCAAUCUGAAAGGUGGGGAGCUGGCAAGCCAUUAGGGGUGAAUGUUUUCUGAUCACGGAAAGAGUAGGCUGCUGUUAUCUCUGUGAUAGUGGAACAACUGAGACACAAAGAUAACUUUCCGCAGGACCUGGAGAAGGGCCCUGAAACCCUGCCGGGUGAUUUAGCAGCUGACUGUGACAAUGCGGCCCUCCUCCAGAAGUUUCUUCUGGAUUCAGCCUCCCAAGGCAGCCACAGGAACAUGCUCCACCAAAGCAAAGGCCAGGGGCCAAGUCUGGUGCGACUCUAGGAGCGCAGUGAACUGCACCAAUUUCUCCUGCAAGGAGGAUCUAACCCAGCUGCGAUCAACAAAUAUCCCUUUCCAGUGCCUGAUAGCCCCAUUCCUUGGUGGCUCCAGAUUCCUGAGGGAAUCUUCAUAAAACUCAAAAUGCAUCUGGAAGAGGGAUCACACCUUCUCUGUGAAUGGAUCAUGUUUCUGUAAGACAGGUCUGCACAAUAGACUAUUUGAGGCUACCUGCAGAUUUUAAGCCCUCGAUGGUGAGAAUUGCAUCCAUUUAAUUUGAGUGGUUGGUUUAAUUUCCCUAACAAGUGAAAAUUACCUUCCUGAUUCUUGGGUAAGAUGAAAGAAGACAAGCAGAACCCAGGCUAAGCUCACAAAUGCCUUGUUCUCGCAGUUGCAGAAGCAUUAUGCUUGGAGAUACCACAGCCCUCAGGUAUCUGCCCGAAUUUCUGGAGUCUCCAGCAAAAGUCUUGGCGGGAUGAAAGACAUUUUUGGAUCUAGUUCCCAAAACUAUAGUUGUGUGUUUCAGGACAGUAAUUAAGUAUUAUUGUGGUUAGGAAUUGUUGUUAACCAAUUUAUGCGAACUUGUUUAGAGGUAGCUGGAAAUUUUUAAGUAACGCAUGCAAACUUACAAAUUGUUUGUCACUAUCAAUAACUGACAUCUGUGAAUGUGGUUGCUUUGUUAAGAACAUGCUUGGCUCUCUGGAGCUCUGAGGAUGAGUGUGUAACACAAGCAUCUGGUUCAAUGCUAUGGACUGUUUCAUUCCAAGCGGAACUUCGUGUUUGCUUGAGAGGUCAAAAAUCAACAACAUGGUAUAAUUAUAAACGUGGACAAUAAUUGAACUUCAGGAAUAGUCUCCUAUGUUAUAGCUGCUGAUCUCAAGAAGGUUCAGCUGCUGGGAGUAGCCAGUGGUCCCUAAUGGUUCUGGACUAAAAUCUAAAGUCAACAGUAAGAACAUACAAGUGGGGCCAGAUUGUGAUUCAAGAAAAGUACGUUAGGUUUAAGAAAAAUAGCAGCAGGCACUGAAUAAGGAUGUGAGCAAAAGAGUUGCCAUGGGCAUCAUGUGUCUCUUCAUACGAUGCAAUGGAAGUAUACAACUACACUCCCCAAGAAGUAAUCUUGCCAGAAAGAAUUAAACCUGGAUUUAAUCAAGCAUCUGGAUAUAACUGCCAGUGAACAGGAAAUUCGGGAGAUAGAGGAACAUGCUAAACAAUGUUACCAGGAAGAAAGAAGCCAAAUCCAGAAAAUGGGAAACUCUAUGGGACAAAGGACCUGAUCCCUUUGAAUAUAUGUGAAUAUUUGAGAAUGCUAAGAAAUAUAUUUUAAAAACAUAAUGUAUGGACCUAGUUUGGAUCCUGAUUUUAUCAAACUAACUAUAAAAAUUUUUUUUGAGAUAAUCUGGGAAAUUUGAACAAAGACAAGUUGUUAGAUAAUCUUGGUGAUAAUAUAUAUGGAUGCGUUAAAAACAAAAGUCCUUUAUCUACCUAUCUGUAUCUAUUUGUUUGUCUAUCCAUCUAUAAUCUGUCUACAUAUCUGUCUGAAAUGAAGUAGUUGACAUUCACUUUUAAAUACCUUAGCAAAAAAAGUGGAUAUAGAUGGAAGAAGAUUAGUAAAUCGUUGAUACUUGGGUAAUAUGUAUGUGAACUUUUAGUAUACUAUUCUCUCUACUUAUGUGUACAUCGAAAAUUUCCAGAAUAAGUUUCCAAAUAAACAGAAAGAAAGUUCUGAGAGUUGCAGCUUUCCAUCAAGGGAAUCUUGAGCCUUACUUUGUGGUGGGGUGGGGGAGUGUUCAAAGGAGCAGAGUGAGCACAAAGAUUGAGGCAGAUGGGGUGC